rnacentral:rRNA from 1 species
ACGGGAGGCAGCAGUGGGGGAUAUUGCACAAUGGAGGAAACUCUGAUGCAGCAACGCCGCGUGAAGGAAGAAGGUCUUCGGAUUGUAAACUUCUGUUCUUGGUGAAGAAACAAAUGACGGUAGCCAAGGAGAAAGCCACGGCUAACUACGUGCCAGCAGCCGCGGUAAUACGUAGGUGGCGAGCGUUGUCCGGAAUUACUGGGUGUAAAGGGUGCGCAGGCGGGACUGCAAGUUGGAUGUGAAAUCCCGGGGCUUAACUCCGGAACUGCAUCCAAAACUGUGGUUCUUGAGUGAAGUAGAGGUAGGCGGAAUUCCGAGUGUAGCGGUGAAAUGCGUAGAUAUUCGGAGGAACACCAGUGGCGAAGGCGGCCUACUGGGCUUUAACUGACGCUGAGGCACGAAAGUAUGGGGAGCAAACAGGAUUAGAUACCCUGGUA